UACGGAGGGGGCUAGCGUUGUUCGGAAUUACUGGGCGUAAAGCGCACGUAGGCGGCUUUGUAAGUUAGAGGUGAAAGCCCGGGGCUCAACCCCGGAAUUGCCUUUAAGACUGCAUCGCUUGAACGUCGGAGAGGUGAGUGGAAUUCCGAGUGUAGAGGUGAAAUUCGUAGAUAUUCGGAAGAACACCAGUGGCGAAGGCGGCUCACCUGGACGACUGUUGAC
rnacentral:rRNA from 1 species